rnacentral:miRNA from 1 species
UCAACAGUCGUACUCAAGACCUGAAGACACAAGAAGCAGAAUAGAGAGCAGUGUAGAAAAAUGUCCAUGUUUUGACAACUGUAUUCGAG